UUGGAGGGCAAGUCUGGUGCCAGCAGCCGCGGUAAUUCCAGCUCCAAUAGCGUAUAUUAAAGUUGUUGCAGUUAAAAAGCUCGUAGUUGAAUUUCGGGAUCAAUUAAUUGGUCGUGCCUCUGGUACGUACUGAUUUUAUUGGUUUCUCCCUUCUGACGAACCAUGAUGUCAUUAAUUUGGUGUCGUGGAGAAUCAGGACUGUUACUUUGAAAAAAUUAGAGUGUUUAAAGCAAGCUAACGCUUGAAUACAUUAGCUUGGAAUAAUGAAAUAGGACGUUUGAUCCUAUUUUGUUGGUUUCUAGGAUCGACGUAAUGAUUAAUAGGGAUAGUUGGGGGCAUUAGUAUUCAAUUGUCAGAGGUGAAAUUCUUGGAUUUAUUGAAGACUAACUACUGCGAAAGCAUUUGCCAAGGAUGUUUUCAUUAAUCAAGAACGAAAGUUAGGGGAUCGAAGACGAUCAGAUACCGUCGUAGUCUUAACCAUAAACUAUGCCGACUAGGGAUCGGAUGAUGUUAAUUUUUUAAUGACUCAUUCGGCGCCUUACGGGAAACCAAAGUGUUUGGGUUC
rnacentral:rRNA from 1 species